CAGUCGCCGCGGUAAUACGAAGGGGGCUAGCGUUGCUCGGAAUGACUGGGCGUAAAGGGCGCGUAGGCGGUUUAUACAGUCAGAUGUGAAAUUCCUGGGCUCAACCUGGGGACUGCAUUUGAUACGUAUGGACUUGAGUGGAGGAGAGGGUCGUGGAAUUUCCAGUGUAGAGGUGAAAUUCGUAGAUAUUGGAAAGAACACCGGUGGCGAAGGCGGCGACCUGGCCUUUAACUGACGCUGAGGCGCGAAAGCGUGGGGAGCAAACAGGAUUAGAGACCCCUGUAGUCCCUGUCUCUUAUAC
rnacentral:rRNA from 1 species